rnacentral:tRNA from 1 species
ACCUGGGUGGCUCAGUUAGUUAAGCAUCUGACUUUGGCUCAGGUCAUGAUCUCACAGUUCGUGAGUUCAAGUCCCACAUCAGGUA